UAGGGAAUUUUCGUCAAUGGGCGCAAGCCUGAACGAGCAAUGCCGCGUGAGUGAGGAAGGCCUUCGGGGUCGUAAAAGCCUCUGUUGGCAGAGGGAAAGGAACGGAGAGAAUGAUUCCGUUUUGAUGGUACCUCGCCAGAAAGUCACGGCUAACUACGUGCCAGCAGCCGCGGUAAUACGUAGGUGGCAAGCGUUAUCCGGAAUGAUUGGGCGUAAAGGGUGCGCAGGCGGCAUAUCAAGUCUGAAGUGAAAGGUACGGGCUCAACCUGUACAGGCUUUGGAAACUGGUAUGCUCGAGGACAGGAGAGGGCGGUGGAACUCCACGUGUAGCGGUAAAAUGCGUAGAGAUGUGGAAGAACACCAUUGGCGAAGGCGGCCGCCUGGCCUGUAACUGACGCUCAGGCACGAAAGCGUGGGGAGCAAAUAGGAUUAGAUACC
rnacentral:rRNA from 1 species